rnacentral:rRNA from 1 species
CCUACGGGUGGCAGCAGUAGGGAAUCUUUCACAAUGGGCGAAAGCCUGAUGGAGCAACGCCGCGUGCAGGAUGAAGGCCUUCGGGUUGUAAACUGCUUUUAUAAGCGAGAAAUAUGAUGGUAACUUAUGAAUAAGGAUCGGCUAACUACGUGCCAGCAGCCGCGGUCAUACGUAGGAUCCGAGCAUUAUCCGGAGUGACUGGGUGUAAAGAGUUGCGUAGGUGGCAUAAUAAGUAGCUAGUGAAAUCUGGUGGCUCAACCAUUCAGACUAUUAGCUAAACUGUUAAGCUCGAGACCGUUAGGGGUAACUGGAAUGUCUAGUGUAGGAGUGAAAUCCGUAGAUAUUAGAAGGAACACCGAUAGCGUAGGCAGGUUGCUGGGACGGUUCUGACACUAAGGCACGAAAGCGUAGGGAGCAAACGGGAUUAGAUACCCCAGUAGUC